rnacentral:rRNA from 1 species
UGCAGUCGAGCGGACUUACAAGCUUGCUUUUUAUUUAGCGGCGGACGGGUGAGUAACACGUGGGCAACCUGCCUGUAAGACUGGGAUAACUUCGGGAAACCGGAGCUAAUACCGGAUAAUCCUUUUCUACUCAUGUGAAAAGCUGAAAGACGGUUUACGCUGUCACUUACAGAUGGGCCCGCGGCGCAUUAGCUAGUUGGUGAGGUAACGGCUCACCAAGGCGACGAUGCGUAGCCGACCUGAGAGGGUGAUCGGCCACACUGGGACUGAGACACGGCCCAGACUCCUACGGGAGGCAGCAGUAGGGAAUCUUCCGCAAUGGACGAAAGUCUGACGGAGCAACGCCGCGUGAGUGAUGAAGGUUUUCGGAUCGUAAAACUCUGUUGUUAGGGAAGAACAAGUACGAGAGUAACUGCUCGUACCUUGACGGUACCUAACCAGAAAGCCACGGCUAACUACGUGCCAGCAGCCGCGGUAAUACGUAGGUGGCAAGCGUUGUCCGGAAUUAUUGGGCGUAAAGCGCGCGCAGGCGGUCCUUUAAGUCUGAUGUGAAAGCCCACGGCUCAACCGUGGAGGGUCAUUGGAAACUGGGGGACUUGAGUGCAGAAGAAAAGAGUGGAAUUCCACGUGUAGCGGUGAAAUGCGUANAGAUGUGGAGGAACACCAGUGGCGAAGGCGACUCUUUGGUCUGUAACUGACGCUGAGGCGCGAAAGCGUGGGGAGCAAACAGGAUUAGAUACCCUGGUAGUCCACGCCGUAAACGAUGAGUGCUAAGUGUUAGAGGGUUUCCGCCCUUUAGUGCUGCAGCAAACGCAUUAAGCACUCCGCCUGGGGAGUACGGCCGCAAGGCUGAAACUCAAAGGAAUUGACGGGGGCCCGCACAAGCGGUGGAGCAUGUGGUUUAA